ensembl:lncRNA
GGCAGAGAUGCAGAGAGAGAGUAGAGUGGAUAGGUGAGGAAGAGAGGCAGAGAGAGAGUAGAGUGGAUAGGUGAGGAAGAGAGGCAGAGAGAGAGUAGAGUGGAGGAUAGGUGAGGAAGAGGCAGAGAGAGAGAGUGGAGGAUAGGUGAGGAAGAGAGGCAGAGAGAGAGUAGAGUGGAUGAUAGAUGAGGAAGAGGCAGAGAGAGAGAGAGAGUAGAGGAUAGGUGAGGAAGAGAGGCAGAGAGAGCGUUUAGUAGAGGAUAGGUGGGGAAGAGAGGCAGAGAGAGAGUAGAGUGGAGGACAAAUCCUCACACACACACACCAAUCCAUACCACCACAUCAACCAAUGCAGAUGUGCACCGUAUCCCC